GGGGGGGGGGAAAGUCUACACGUUUCUUUGAUUGGUUUCUUGUAAUAUCGCCUUUGCAACUGGUUGACCAAAUCUAAAGUAAAAGGCUCAAGCGCAAGUCUGCUAGUGGCCGUGACACAGACCCUACCCUGGGGCACGCUGCUGAGAGCCAUGCAAGAGCUGCUCCGCUCAGGCUGGCUCCACGUGCCUUACUUUCUGGAGUAUGUGGACUUUCUCCCCCUGCUGGACCUGUGGGCAUUCUCCUGCGAGCUGCGUCUGUCCAUGCUGCAUGACCUCCAGCUGCUCUGUGACUCCAGCUGCAAAGACUGGCUGCCUGGACAGGGCUGGGCCCACGUGGGGCGGCUGUACGUCAGCGCCAUGAGGUCAUAGACUCCCUGAGCCAGCUCUUCUGCCAUGUGCAGCAUGUUUAGGUGAUGAUGCCCGGCGGGCAGUGCGAGUCCCUGUUCCUGUGUGCCCUGGAGAUCCUGACCCACUACGUGGCAGUGCUGGCCGCCCACCCCAGCAGCAGCUCCCACCUGGAGACCGAGAACACUCGCCACUUCUUCACCACAAUCACAGACAACCUGGAGAGCGCCGAGAUGAAGGCUGUGUUGCAUCAGAAAAUUGCUCAGCUGUCAUCUUCAGGUUGAUGUACUUUAAGACAGCACUUGAAUGAAGGUUUAUUGUUCCCAGCCUCAAAUAAGUGUUCUGACCUUGUGUUAAAAUAAAAUACAUUUUGAAUGAAA